rnacentral:rRNA from 1 species
GGUGAAAUUCGUAGAUAUUAGGAGGAACACCAGUGGCGAAGGCGACUCUCUGGGCCAAUACUGACGCUGAGGUUCGAAAGCAUGGGUAGCGAACAGGAUUAGAUACCCUGGUAGUCCAUGCAGUAAACGAUGAGUGCUAGAUGUUGGGAGUUUAAACUUCCAGUAUCGCAGUUAACGCGUUAAGCACUCCGCCUGGGAAGUACGGCCGCAAGGCUAAAACUCAAAUGAAUUGACGGGGACCCGCACAAGCGGUGGAUCAUGUGGUUUAAUUCGAAGAUACGCGAAGAACCUUACCGGCUCUUGACAUACCAAUCGCGGACUUAAGAGAUUAAGUCUUUCACUUCGGGUGGAUUGGAUACAGGUGCUGCAUGGCUGUCGUCAGCUCGUGUCGUGAGAUGUUGGGUUAAGUCCCGCAACGAGCGCAACCCUUACCUUCAAUUGCCAGCACGUGAUGGUGGGAACUUUGAAGGAACUGCCGGUGAUAAGCCGGAGGAAGGUGGGGAUGACGUCAAGUCCUCAUGGCCCUUACGGGCCGGGCUACACACGUGAUACAAUGGUAACUACAAAAGGCAGCGAAGGAGUGAUCUGGAGCAAAUCUCAAAAAGUUACCUCAGUUCGGAUUGCACUCUGCAACUCGAGUGCAUGAAGUUGGAAUCGCUAGUAAUCGUAGAUCAGCGCGCUACGGUGAAUACGUUCCCG